UUCCACAGACAGAUAGCUCACUCGAAAGCGUUAGCAAAGUUCAUUACAGAUAGUGCAAAACUGUUGUUGUCAAAGAAUGGUCAAUUUCUGCUCGGAUGAUACAUACCAAGAAUAGUUGUCACCUUUCAUCAGUUGCAACCAUCAAUACCAAUACUUCCAGAUAAAUGGAGAGAUGCUACUGGAACGGUAGAAAACUAAAAGAUUAAAAUCAAACAAGAAAGUGUUAGAAAGAUGAUAUAUGGUUGAGGACGGCAAUACAGGUUCCAUGGGCGGCUGGUAGAUCUUGGCACCUCACUGGCCCUCCAUGUACCUUGAGAAGCGACACAAGUUAAAAUACAUCCACGCUUGCUGAAACUAAUAUUUGCAUACUGUUGAAAAGGCACGUAAUAAAAUUACCUCAUGAGAGCACACCCGCUCUCAUGAUAGCAUUGUGCUAUUAGGUAUGUGAUUCCUCGCAACAUAUGAGCUAGUUUCUGCAUUCUUGUUGGCUUCACAAUUCUCCUUUAAUAAAAGUAACAAAUAUUCACUAAGUAAUACAGUAAUACUACAAGAGAAGCAGAAUUAGACUGACGAAAGAAAUAUACAACAGAUAAAACAAGGCAUUAUAUUUGAGAGAAGAUACAUGAUAAAACAAGAGGUCUUAUAAUCAUCAUCCUUUGUAUGCUGAGCAGAUUCCAAGGGAAAAAAUGUUGGGCAGAUUGAAAUGGUUCGGAUAAACUAACAAUUUUACCACAAAUUCAAUAUGCCAGGGUGAUUUAAAUAGAAUAAACUUACCAAAAGAAGAGAAAAAAAUGGGUUCAAACUUCUGAAAUUCAUCGGGGUUAUGUUCUUAAAGUCUGUUAUGACGCCCCAAAUGUUCCAGUGUGAUACUUGUUCAUGUAAUCAGAAAAUGCUUCCUACAUAUCCAAAAAUGUAAAUGUAUUAUCAGAUUUACCAGAAAGUUAAUAAUAUGGUCACAUGAGUUAAAUAAGAGUAGCACUACAAAUAACUUAAUACCAGAAGGAAAAACGCUGACAUCCAGAAUCAACAAACUUUCCAUACAAAUAUCACUUCAUUGUUCCUAGAGGUCCACUACCUGAAGAUUAUCAUGUCAUCAGUAGAAUAAUUAUGGAUAUGAAUAAUUCAAAAUUAAAGUGAGAGAUUGCAGAUAAGUGCAUAGUCCAUCAUCAUCUUUUCUCCAAAAAUUCUACAAUCACCACCAAGAAGCAGUAGGUCGUCUAUUUGUGAUUCCUCCCUUUACCCGGCUAUCGUCUAUUUGUCGCGCCAUCAUUUUUGCUGGUCCUUAUAAAUAAUAUGGAUUUCAUGUGGAAUAAACAAAAUACGGUCGAAUAAUAAACAACACCUGCACCCGGUUACCUUUGGCCUGAUGUCCUCGUGACCACAACAACAAUUUCCUAAAUCGCCCCUCGUCCUCCUUUUAUUUGAAGCUCUGAAAAACACACGCUGCACAAAAAGAAACACUAAGCAGUGAUAAAUGUAAACACACCGAUAAUUGGAUCCGACCCUGAAAACAAAUGGUACAUGAUUCAAUAAUAAAGAAUAAAAAAGAAUUUGCAUUUCCCCAUCCGAGCAGAGAGGAUCGUGAAGAUUGGAAGUCCCAGAGAAAUAGAUCAUCACGAUCGAUCCAAAUGAGAGGUGCAAGGAUCACAAUCCUUUGCUCACAAAUCCCUUUAAUUACCCAGCCAUCACCUAUGCUCUCCCGCUAUCUGGUGGAUCAAGAACCAGAUCGAUUGGAGUGAAAUAAUACAGUUCUUACUAAUUCAGUCACGGCACACUUUGUCAAGCAGGGGAGGUUCAUCUUUAAAAUCAUCUAGGAGUAGAAGCACACAACCUAGAAGUGAGAAACGAGAGAGAGAGAGAGAGAGAGAGAAGGAGGCACUUGCGCAGUCGUUUGAAAAUAGAGUGGCAGGGGAACGGUGGCGGGGGCUCCAUCCCAAUCGCCUCCGGUGCUGCACGAGGAGGCUUUUCGCUUCCCACUCGUGCUGUCCUCUGGUCACAUCAAUCGCCAUGAUGCAGAGCGGAAGCGCGGCCGCCAUCUUGGGCGGCAGCACCCUGGCGUUUGACGGCGGUACGGUGGAUGGCCUGGAGGCGGUGUGAUCCAGGCGCAAGCCGUGCAACGUCGGAAAUCCGGCCGCGAUGGCACGGACGGGGGCGCGGCCGGGAGACACGAGGCGGAGGAGAUCGGGGCGCGGUGGUGGGGAUCGGAGCGCGGCGGCUGGAAUCGGGGAGGCGGAGGUGAUCGGGGCACCGGG
rnacentral:lncRNA from 1 species